CAGGUUAGUGGCCAUCACCACCUCCUGUGACAGCACAUUCCAAACACAAGCAUAUUCCAAACAUAUUCCAUACAAGGCUUACCACUGAAAGAAAUAUUUACAGAUGAAAAGAAUGGUUGUGACUCCAGUGCAACUCAAGCUUAUGUUGACUGAGUCACAGCUUCCUUGAGAACAAUGGUUUAAUGGAUGUUGGGGUGGAAAUACAUCUUAACCUGGCAGACAUAAGGUCCCAAUCUCAGCCAGCAGAGGCAGUGACUGUGUAGCAAGGAGGCAAUUUCAGGGAAGCAUCAACAGAUGCUACCUCAAGCAAUUCCUUUUCCCAGCUAGGAUUAUUUCUAAUCAUUCCUGGGCCAUUUCUGCACGGCACAAUUAUACCGGGUUAAAAGCGGUACCUUACAUCCCGGGUUUAUUUUAUCCCAGUUUCUCCCUUCGCAUGGCUUCCUGUUACAGUGAAGGGAUCAAGUGAAGACCUGGACGGAAUACUCCGGUUUGUUUCUCACGAGUCCGGGCCUUUUGCAUUUACGUCGCAAGCAUAUCUGUGCAUGCACGAACAUCCCCGGUGUCCCGCGUUUUGAAUGGCUGUUGUUUUUAGGCGGCAGCUCGAAUAAAUGUCUUCGCCCUGCCUUUACACCUGCUGUACAAAUCACAUUCCCACUCACAUUCUCAUGUUUUUGUGGAAAAUGAGAGACACGCCCCCCCCGGUGAUAUGCCCACUAACAUUCGACCCAAAGGGGACAUCUCCCUAGCUAUGCACUCCGAGCAACCAGUACACGUACAAAAAAAGAAAACGGGGACAUUUUGGGACUCCGCUCCUGAUUAAACCAGCCGAAAUAGCACCAGGUUGAUACCAUGAGCAGAAAAACGUGCUUGGGGCAACGUUUUGGAAAGGGCGAGCUGCAACAGUUGGCGGUUCAGCAGGAUUGAAAACUGAAAUGACAUCAGGUGCGGAAAUCAGGGGGGCAGGCAGCUGGGUGGGAAUAUGAAACUGGUUCUGCUUCUGUGGUGUUUGCAUGGUAGUGGGCUCACUGCGGGAUUUUUUUGAAAAGAAUUGCCAAACUGGCAAUGUUUAAAAAUCCUGGCAUGAGGGAAAUAUCGCGGGGUGCUUUGGGACCGGGGACCGGGUGAACUUCUUGGUCAGGCCGGGGUAUUUUCCUUGCUCAUCCUGGGAUAUUUGGAUUGUGCGGAAACGACCCUCGUAGCUCAGCUGGAUUAAAAUGUUAGUGAGUAGGAUAUGAAGAGGAGUGUCGCCCAACAAAGCAGCCUUUCUCUAGCCACUGAACUUUUUCUGCAAUUCUCCCACCCUUGCUUUGCUAAAGAAAAUGAACUCUAGAACCCCCAUACUUGUAUUGGAAGCACUGCAUGGUUCCUCCCUUGGUAAUGGAAAGUACUGUCAAGUGAAAGCCAAUUUAUGGUGAAGCUGUAGUGUUCUCGAAGCAAGAGAUGCUCAGAGGUGGUUUACCAUUGUCUGCCUCUGCUCUGUGUAGCAACCCUUUUGUUCCUUGGUGGUUUCCCAUCAAAGUACUAGUCAAGGCCAACCCUGCUUAGCUUCCAAGAUCUGAUGAAACUAGCCUAGGUGAGGGCAAGAGAUCUUUAGAGGUGGUUUGCCAUUGCCUGCCUCUGUUUAGCAACUCUGGGUAUCUUUGAUGGUCUCCCAUUCAAGAAUUAACCAGGGCCAACCUUUCUUAGCUUCUACAGUAUGAUGAGAUUGGGCUUGCUUUGACCAUCAGGGCAAUGACCUUUAAGGUCAUUGUCUUGCAUUAGGCAGCUGGACGUGAAGGCAUUCCUGCCGUCUUGAGUAACUCCUGUUGGGUAAAUCAGGAACAUUUUACACAGUAUAGUAAAAUCUUACCCCGAGAGUAUGACACAUUUUUAUGUCAAUCACAAGUUUCCUCUGAAAGUCAUCCCCUGCCAGAAGGCUAAUUUUAAUGGUCCCUGUCCCAGGUGUGCUUGAGAAAAUUCCUUUCAGUGGAGUUUUAUUCAGAAGCAGAUGUGUUUAGAAUCAGGAUCAUAAUCUUAAUCAUAAAUAUUCACUCUCUGGGAAACAGCCUUAUGUUAUUUUUUAUAAUGAAAUGCAAUUGCCUAUCUUGAAAGGGAGCGAGGGAAUCUUUAUCAUUUGUUCUAAACAAAGAAAUAUGUUGUCUUCUGCGAAGUUGUAUUUAUGGCCUCUGUAAUUUAUUUUGUAAAGCGGGAUUACUAGUGUUGAAUGUUUGUGUAUUUGGGAAUAGUACUGAGACGUACAAUAAAAUACUUUCCCUUAAAAAAAA